GCAUAUUAAAAAACAAAAACAAAGGGAACACAUCAUUUCCCAGAAAGGAACAAUGAUCGGAGAUAUCUCCCCGCCGGUUGCUUCAAUCCCAGUUGUUGAAGGAAACGCGCAAGCGAUGAAUUCGAAGAAGCUUCUUCCGCCGCUAUCGACGGUGGCGUCUCACUUCGGCACAAGCGGAUUGUCCGUCGCGUUAGCUACAGGCGUCACUCAUCCUCUCGAUGUAUUAAAAGUAAGGUUGCAGAUGCAGCAUGUGGGCCAAAGAGGGCCUUUAAUCGGAAUGACAGGAAUCUUUCUUCAACUAAUGAAGCAGGAAGGGCCUAGGUCUUUGUACUUGGGUUUAACUCCUGCUCUCACUAGAUCAGUACUCUACGGGGGUCUCAGAUUAGGAUUAUACGAACCAACCAAGGUUUGUUUUGAUUGGGCGUUUGAGUCUACCAAUGUCUUGGUCAAGAUAGCAUCAGGCGCAUUCGCUGGAGCGGUUGCCACUGCGUUAACCAACCCGGUUGAAGUUGUCAAGGUUAGGUUGCAGAUGAAUCCAAACGCGGUUCCCAUUGCGGAGGUGCGGGAGAUAGUUUCUAAAGAAGGUAUUGGAGCUUUAUGGAAAGGAGUUGGUCCUGCCAUGGUUAGGGCUGCUGCAUUAACUGCCUCACAGCUUGCAACAUACGACGAAACCAAGCGGAUUCUGGUUAAACGGACUUCUUUGGAAGAAGGGUUUCAUCUUCAUUUGUGGUGUAGUAAGCACUCUGAUAACCGCGCCCAUAGACAUGAUUAAAACCCGCUUGAUGUUGCAGCAAAACUCUGGAAGCGUCAGAAUCUAUAGAAACGGGUUUCAUUGCGGUUACAAGGUUAUUCGCAAAGAAGGCCCUCUGGCACUUUACAAAGGAGGCUUUGCGAUUUUUGCACGGCUGGGGCCACAAACGAUGAUCACGUUCAUUCUCUGCGAGAAGCUAAGAUCACUAGCUGGACUUCACAAAAUGUAGCCACUGACUAGUUCAUGCCUGUCCGGUUCCAGCUAAGUUCUACUCCAAUCAUUUUUUUUUCACCACCAAAAGUUUUAUUGAUCAUUUAUUUGUUCUGUGUUCACUAUGCAUGUGUUUAAUGUACCAUUCAAAGGAUUAGCACAAACUUUUAUUAUAAAGAAAAGUACUUCCACGCUGGAUGUGAAGUAUGCAUUUUUUUCUUGAUUAGUGUGGAUAGACUUUGAAUUGAAAUGUAAUUAUCCAAAUACGUAGUGGUUAUGUUGAAAGGAUUUCUAUAUUGCAAAGUGUGCGUCACUC